UCCAUUUUCUAGUUAGCUGAGGUUUCCAAUGAAUUAAAGUGAUUAUGAUUAAGGGAAUUAUGAAAAAAUGAAAAGUUAGUCAUCAACAAAAACCUAAAUCCGAAAUAAAUUGGAAUUCUGGUUGUGACUUGUAGUUUGUUUAACCCUAUACCUUCACUUUCUUCAAUGAUUGUGAAUAAAUAUAACCUGAGAAGUAACAUUAUGAGUUUCAAUUUAGAUGGUUUGGGUUGUAGUGCUGGUGUUAUAGCUACUGAUCUUGCAACAGAUUUGCUGAUGGUUCAAAAGAAUGAUACUUAUGCUGUUGUUGUUAGCACUGAAAAUAAUUACUCAAAAUUGGUAGGCACAACUGGCAGUGUGAUGGGGCUUCCCAAAUAUCUGACUAAACAACUCUUAAAGGCGGUCUUAUAGUUUGUGUUAUCUAUCUCCCUCGUGGGACUGCUAAGUAAUGGUUUGUUUUAUAGAACAUUAUGGCAGAAAUCCAUGUAGCUGAUCCCAUUUAGUGGAAUAAAGUUAUGUUAUGUCUGAAUUUUUUGAUUGAAUAAUCUGUUUAAAGAAA